rnacentral:rRNA from 1 species
GACGAACGCUGGCGGCGUGCUUAACACAUGCAAGUCGAACGGAAAGGCCCUGCUUUUGUGGGGUGCUCGAGUGGCGAACGGGUGAGUAACACGUGAGUAACCUGCCCUUGACUUUGGGAUAACUUCAGGAAACUGGGGCUAAUACCGGAUAGGAGCUCCUGCUGCAUGGUGGGGGUUGGAAAGUUUCGGCGGUUGGGGAUGGACUCGCGGCUUAUCAGCUUGUUGGUGGGGUAGUGGCUUACCAAGGCUUUGACGGGUAGCCGGGCUGAGAGGGUGACCGGCCACAUUGGGAUUGAGAUACGGCCCAGACUCCUACGGGAGGCAGCAGUGUGGAAUAUUACAAAAUGGGCGGAAGCCUGAUGCAGCAACGCCGCGUGCGGGAUGACGGCCUUCGGGUUGUAAACCGCUUUCGCCUGUGACGAAGCGUGAGUGACGGUAAUGGGUAAAGAAGCACCGGCUAACUACGUG